rnacentral:rRNA from 1 species
ACAGAGAAGAGUUUGAUCCUGGCUCAGGAUGAACGCUAGCGAUAGGCUUAACACAUGCAAGUCGAGGGGCAUCGGGGGUAGCAAUACCUGCCGGCGACCGG